UUUUUCCAGGUGCCAUCAAGAAUGUUAUUUUAUGAGAAAAAAAAAAAAAACUGUUACACACAAUUAAAACACCUCUUUCAUAGCCAAAUGGAAAGUGGGCACAUGCAUGACAGACACAA
rnacentral:snoRNA from 1 species